rnacentral:rRNA from 1 species
CUUACCCAGCAUGCAACUGACACUGAGGCACGAAAGCGUGGGUAUCAAACAGGAUUAAGAUACCCUGGUAGUCCACGCAGUAAACGAUGAAAUACUAGCUGUUGGCGAUAUAAUGUCAGCGGUACAGCGAAAGUGUUAAGUAUUCCACCUGGGGAGUACGCCCGGCAACGGUGAAACUCAAAAGGAAUUGACGGGGGCCCGCACAAGCGGAGGAACAUGUGGUUUAAUUCGAUGAUACGCGAGGAACCUUACCCGGGCUUGAAAGUUAGUGACGGCGGAUGAAAGUCUGCUUCCCUUCGGGGCACGAAACUAGGUGCUGCAUGGUUGUCGUCAGCUCGUGCCGUGAGGUGUCGGCUUAAGUGCCAUAACGAGCGCGACCCUUGCCGUUAGUUGCCAGCGGGUAAUGCCGGGAACUCUAGCGGGACUGCUACUGUAAGGUAGAGGAAGGUGGGGAUGACGUCAAAUCAACACGGCCCUUACGUCCGGGGCGACACACUGGACGGGCGGUGUGUACAAAGGGUGGGUACGUCGCGAGGGGAUGAUAGUCUAAUAAAACUCAUUUCAGUUCGGAUCGGAGUGGACAACAGUAGUCGGCGAAGC